AUGAUUCUAGGCUGCCAAGAAAAACUUCUAAACGCGAAGCAGACCGACCGUACUACAAACCGACACAGGUGGGUGGGGUGAAUAACCUAAGGCGCUCGAGAUAACUCUUGUUAAGGAACUCGGCAAAUUAGUCCCAUAACUUCGGGAAAAGGGACGCCUUUUUAGUGUGAAGUAGAACAUACGGAGCAUGAAGAGGUCGCAGAGAAAUGGGCCAAGCGACUGUUUAGCAAAAACACAGGGCUCUGCAAAAUCGUAAGAUAAAGUAUAGGGUCUGACACCUGCCCGGUGCUGGAAGGUUAAAAGGAGAGGUUAGCGUGAUUUAUCAUGCGAAGCUUUGAAUUGAAGCCCCAGUAAACGGCGGCCGUAACUAUGACGGUCCUAAGGUAGCGAAAUUCCUUGUCAGGUAAGUUCUGACCUGCACGAAUGGUGUAACGACUUGGUCACUGUCUCAACAAGAGGCUCGGUGAAAUUGUAAUGUUAGUGAAGAUGCUGACUACUGUAGUUGGACGGAAAGACCCCGUGCACCUUUACUGUACCCUGACACUGUGAUUUGGCAACGUAUGUGUAGGAUAGGUGGGAGACUUUGAAGUUGGGACGCCAGUCUCGAUGGAGUCGUUGUUGAAAUACCACCCUUACUUUGUUGGAUUACUAACUGAUACCCGUUAUCCGGGAUCAGGACAAUGUCUGGCGGGCAGUUUGACUGGGGCGGUCGCCUCCUAAAGAGUAACGGAGGCGCCCAAAGGUUCCCUCAGCACGGACGGAAAUCGUGCGCAGAGUGUAAACGCAUAAGGGAGCUUGACUGCGAGACAAACAAGUCGAGCAGAAACGAAAGUUGGGGUUAGUGAUCCGGUGGUCCCGAGUGGAAGGGCCAUCGCUCAACGGAUAAAAGGUACGCCGGGGAUAACAGGCUGAUAGUGCCCAAGAGUUCAUAUCGACGGCACUGUUUGGCGCCUCGAUGUCGACUCUCCGCAUCCUGGGGCUGGAGAAGGUCCCAAGGGUUUGGCUGUUCGCCAAUUAAAGCGGAACGCGAGUUGGGUUCAAAACGUCGUGAGACAGUUUGGUCCCUAUCCUCUACAGGCGUUGGAGAUUUGAGGAGAUCUGUUCCUAGUACGAGAGGACCGGAAUGGACGAACCUCUGGUACAUCGGUUAUCGCGCCAGCGGUACAGCCGAGUAGCUAUGUUCGGAAGGAAUAACCGCUGAAAGCAUCUAAGCGGGAAAUCUACUCCAAGAUGAGAUCUCCCCGGGGGUUUAACCCCCCUGAAGACUCCUCGAAGACUACGAGGUCGAUAGGAUGGCGGUGUAAGUGCGGUAACGUAUUCAGCCUACCAUUACUAAUCAGUCGUGAGGCUUGACCU
rnacentral:rRNA from 1 species